rnacentral:lncRNA from 1 species
GAGGUUAUAUGUGGUGCUUUAUUCCGAGGCCCCGGGAACCAGGGGUACCCACCCAAAUCUGGUUCCGAAGACCGUUACAACGUGCUCACAAUUUAUCCUGUAAAGUAUUACAUAUGCAUCACCUUUCCCACUAUGCUGAUACAUAUUCAUGACCUAUCCCCGCUUCGUAUUGUAAUGAGUACAAAAGUCAUUUCCAUAUGUUCUGCGCUUGCGCAGUGCCUCCUGGUGGUCGUGGGCAGGGGUCUCAAGAUGAAGUAAGUAGUCUUCCUCAGAUGAAGUAAGACGUCUUCCUCGCUGUGUACUUUUCACCUUUUGAGUCCUGGAUAGGUUCCAACGAUGAUGCUUUCACCAGCAUUCUUCUUAUCUCUUUCUGACUGGUACUGGUAUGCAUCUUCGUUUCUUAUCUUAAAGGUUCUGCUUUGAAGUAACCUGGGGAGUACUGCUUCGCCUGGGGAGUACUGCUUCGCUUGGAUAGUCUCAUAUAUUUAUCUCCACAUCCUAGUUACCAAACUUUCCAGUAGCCUUGAGUGCAGACACCCAGCUCGGCCAAGGUCUGUCUUUGCUGUCAGGACUUUUUAUGCGGUACUAAAAAAACUCAGCAAGUUUCAAACUGUUAGCAACAGGCUUAACGGAACAUAAAUCAAGCAACUCACAAGUCUAAUUACUCUAUAUAUCUAACACUUGGAGCAACCUGGUCUAAAAAGCCUAGUAUCUAGGAUGUGGACGUAGAUUUAUGAGACUAUUCAAGCGAUAUCCUUAUGGGGUGGUGGUUUGGUAGGAACAGUACUUUAAAGAUUAUUCAAGUAGAACUUUUAAUUGUGUUGAGAAACAGAGUUGUAUACUAAGAACCAGUCAAGGAGAGAGAGAAGAAUAUUGGCGCAAGCACAAUCGCUGGGAUUUAUCCAGGACUCUAAAAGUUAAAAAGGACAUAGCGAGGAAGACGUCUUACUUCAUCUGAGGAAGACUACUUACUUCAUCCUGACGACCACCAGAAGGGGGCUGCGCAAGCGCAGAAACAACUGAUGAUGUAAUUAGGAGAUGAUGCAAUUUAUAAAUACAUAUGUAUGAGAGGAGCAUGUAACCUGUUGAAUAUACAUUAGAUUGUGAAAUCUCAGUAAGAUAAAUUGCGGGCGCGUUGUGACGGUCUUUGGAACCAGAUUUGGGUGGGUACCCCUGGUUCCCGGGGCCUCGAAAUAAAGCACCACAUAUAACCUC